ACUUGAAUUUUUCUGGAAUAUCAAAGUUAUUCAGCACAAUGCGUUCCACCACUAGUGACUGCAGUGUUCCCCGAGGAAGAUGAGAAGGAAGAUAAUCCAUCAUUGAGAAAAGUAUGAAAGAAAUCAGGAGAGUGUGCCAUCCUCCUAAUAUCAGCAACAGCAAAGGGCUAAAGAAUCUUCAGCACUACACGAAUGGCUCUCUCUUCUGAAAAGUUUUACUACAAAUUAAAAAAAAAUGUGAUAAAGAUCUACUAUAAGCACCUUUCCUGUACUGAUGAGAAAUCGAUGGGACUGCAGACAUUUAACUGGCGCUGAUGAACCCAGUCCACUCUCCUGGAGAUGGUCCAGCAUUAAACCCAGGUUUAGUAUAAUAGGAAAAUUUAGUAAUAGAAUUAAUAGGUACUGGUAGGCAAUGCUCAUCAAAGAAUAACUUCUGACUUUUUACGAACCGUGGUGUGUGGAACAGAAAGCCAGCCCACCUGGAAGAGCUCAUAGGUGUUAGGUCUGUCUCAUAGUUCUUACACUGAAGGGACACAUUUCCCUUUUAAAAUUGUUAAGCAGAAAGUGUAUGUGUUAAAUAUGUGCUGGAAGCAUCUCACUGUGGGGUAUGUCUCAAUGGUGUCCUUCACUAGGUCAUCAAUGUGACCUGUCUGGACAUUCUCUGAAGUAAUUGAGUGACUCGAAAGCUUACUUUCAUCUGAGUCAUAUAAACAUUGCAGACCUUA
rnacentral:lncRNA from 1 species